AAGAAUUACAGAAAACCGAGCGCUCAUUUAAAAACCAGGUAGUAAUUAAUACUGUCCUGUAGUUGCAGAAUUCUUUGAUAUCUAAUACAGACAAUUAUAGGCUAUUAUAAUGAGUCUGUAAAAACAUUUUUUUAAUGUGUUGUCUUUUUCAGAUUGCUAUGCAAGAGAAGAAAGCUCAUGAUAAUUGGGUAAGAUUUUUUUCCCCCUUUUCUUUAUUUUGUGCAUAGCCUACUGCAACUGAAUUUGAAUAUUUUCUCUUUAAUAGCUCAAAGCUCGUUCUGCAGAAAGAGCUAUAGCUGAAGAGAAAAGGGAAACUGCUAUUUUGAGACAGAAGUAUGUGAUUUUGGUAUCUUACUAUAUGUUUUAUAGUGUUUUAAGGUUAUGCUAGAUAUUAUCUAUGAUAGAUUGCUGUUUCAUAAUUUAGCCCAUUCUUUCUCAAUAUUCAAGACUAUUGGAAAUGGCCCAAAAGAUGGCAAUGCAGCAAGAAGAACCUGUGAUUGUAAAACCAAUGCCGGGAAGACCAAAUUUACAAAAUCCUCCUCGGAGAGGUAGGGGGCACUUUGUAAAAGGAGCUAUUUUAUUUCUUGGUGCAGAAUGUAUGUAAAUUACUUUUUAUUUCUGUGUGUAACGGUUAUGAAAUAAUCUGAACGAUUUGCUAAAGCGGGAGGUGGGGGUUGGUGUCAGGGAGAAGGCUGCCUUAAAGUAGUAACACGGCAUUGUUGCUUUAGGUCCCCUGAGCCAGAAUGGCUCU
rnacentral:lncRNA from 1 species